rnacentral:tRNA from 1 species
GCCAGUGUGGCUCUGUGGUUAGAGCAUCAACCUGUAAACUGGAGGGUCGAGGGUUCGAUUCCUGGUCAAGGGCA